UACGUAGGGACCGAGCGUUGUCCGGAUUCAUUGGGCGUAAAGAGCUCGUAGGCGGCCACUCAAGUCGAAUGUGAAACCUCGAGGCUUAACCUCGAGCCUGCAUUCGAUACUGGGCGGCUAGAGUCUGGUAGGGGGAUCUGGAAUUCCUGGUGUAGCGGUGGAAUGCGCAGAUAUCAGGAGGAACACCGAUGGCGAAGGCAGGUCACUGGGCCGCAACUGACGCUGAGGAGCGAAAGCAUGGGGAGCGAACAGG
rnacentral:rRNA from 1 species